rnacentral:rRNA from 1 species
UACGUAGGCAGCAAGCGUUGUUCGGAUUUACUGGGCGUAAAGGGUGUGUAGGCGGUUCUCUAAGUCUGGUGUGAAAUCUCCCGGCUCAACUGGGAGGGUGCGCCGGAAACUGGGGAGCUAGAGUACUGGAUGGGAGAGUGGAAUUCCUGGUGUAGCGGUGAAAUGCGUAGAUAUCAGGAGGAACACCGGUGGCGAAGGCGGUUCUCUGGGCAUUACCUGACGCUCAGGCACGAAAGCGUGGGGAGCAAAAGGG